UCUUGGUCAAAUCGUAACAAGGUUUCCGUAGGUGAACCUGCGGAAGGAUCAUUA
rnacentral:rRNA from 1 species